rnacentral:rRNA from 1 species
UACGAAGGGGGCGAGCGUUGUUCGGAAUUACUGGGCGUAAAGGGCGCGUAGGCGGUGUGUCAAGUCAGGCGUGAAAGCCCCGGGCUCAACCUGGGAACGGCGCUUGAGACUGGCACGCUCGAGUUCGGGAGAGGAUGGUGGAAUUCCCAGUGUAGAGGUGAAAUUCGUAGAUAUCGGGAGGAACACCUGUGGCGAAGGCGGCCCCCUGGUUGGAUACUGACGCUGAGACGCGAAAGCGUGGGGAGCAAACAGG